AUUGAACGCUGGCGGCACGCCUAACACAUGCAAGUCGAGCGGCAGCGAGACUAGUAGCAAUACUAGUUGUCGGCGAGCGGCGGACGGGUGAGUAACACGUAGGAAUCUGCCCUUAAGCGGGGGAUAACCAAGGGAAACUUUGGCUAAUACCGCAUAAUCUCGAGAGAGCAAAGCUGCCCGCAAGGGUGGCACUUGAGGAGGAUCCUGCGUCCGAUUAGCUAGUUGGUGGGGUAAUGGCCUACCAAGGAGAUGAUCGGUAACUGGUCUGAGAGGACGACCAGUCACACUGGGACUGAGACACGGCCCAGACUCCUACGGGAGGCAGCAGUGGGGAAUAUUGGACAAUGGGGGCAACCCUGAUCCAGCGAUGCCGCGUGAGUGAAGAAGGCCUUCGGGUCGUAAAGCUCUUUAGGUUGGGAAGAAGGGUAUUGGCUGAAUAAUCCAGUACUUUGACGGUACCGACAGAAUAAGCACCGGCAAACUCUGUGCCAGCAGCCGCGGUAACAC
rnacentral:rRNA from 1 species